UGCUUGGGAUCGCAGUGGGCACCUCCCCCUUCCAUUCUUCUGUAUGAAAGAAGCCGGAAUUUGGACUGAGAAGAUGGUGUUUUUGAGGCACUACUCUGUCAUCUUCUCUGUCUGCUAGCUUUCUGAUUAAAGUCAUUGUUCCUUGCCUCAACAACUUCUCUUCCAGUUUACUGGCCUGUUGCGCGGUGAGCAGAGUGAGCCUGGACUCCGUAACAGGGAUCCUAACUGAGGGACUGGAAAGCUACCCGAGAAUUACCUGCCAAACCCGCGUCCAUCUUGGGCUGAGGACCGCUCUGGGGGCAUUAAUGCCACAGCACUCCCCCCUUCCUCACAGCAGAACCCGCGCUCCCUGGGCCACCGACCCCCCACCCCCACCCCGGGAGAAUCAGAAAAGUUCCCAGCAAUAGCCAUCUGUGUGGAGAGCAUGUCUGAGCUGAGAAGAGAGCAUCCUUGAGGAGGGCAAACUCCCAGACACUUGUCUCUCCCUGGAUUUCUGACCCGUGUCUUCUGGAAUGAAAAGAAAUAACAGCCAGCACUGCACUUUGAUGUUCUGAUGUGACACAAACAGGGGCUUCACACUUGCUUGAGUAGUUGGACUUGCCUCUUGCACCUCUGUCAUCACUGUGAGAAGAACGUGUCUUAACUAGUGACUCAUCUAAGGACGAUGAAGAGCCACUGCCCAGCUGACCUGCAGUUUUGCGAGAUUAAAUGAUUAUCAUCUUAAGAUACUGAGUUUUGGAGUGGUUUGUUACAUAGAAUAGGGGGGACCAUAGCUAACCAAUAUAUAUAUUCCAAUAGUUCCACAAAUGACCA